rnacentral:lncRNA from 1 species
CCUCACUCUCGGCCGUACACUCUCUCUCCCCGACCUCACUCUCUCGUCCUCUCCCUCUGCCAUCGCCGGAACCACAUCGUCCGGCCACCGCCUCACAUCACCGCUACCACCAAUCGAAGCAGCACCUCAAUCCAACCUAAACCCAUAAGAGAUCGAAGCCAUGCAUCGACCCGGCCUCUCUCUUCCGCUAUCCUUCUCUCUGCCACCAUCGGAGACUCCAUCUCCGGCCACCAUCUCCCCACACCGUCUUCACCAAUCGACGCAGCAUCCAAAACCAACCCAAGCCCGAGCCUUAACGUCGAAAUACAUCGCCGGCAGCCUCUACCCGUGACCACCCAAGGCUGCGACACUGCUGCCACUCAACCUCCAUCAAUUUCUGGCCGCCUUUUCAAUACACCGUAGCCUCCUGUGAGCUCAGGGAGCGCCGACCAUCAAGCCCCCGACAUCCCAUCGCCAGAAGACAUCGAACACACAUCGCCGGAAACCGAGCUCUGCAUGCCUUCGUUCUCUAAUCUCCAACGCGAAUCGUGCUAAACCACCUCCAUGGUUGGAAUCAGCGUCUCACGUUUUCCAAAAGUCCAAACACCCGACCUCCGAUUCCGACCAGAGCCGCCACACGCGCCGCCGGCGCCGGCGCGUGAGAAACCUUGAUGCCGCCGUGAACUCUGCCGGCGUAGUC